rnacentral:rRNA from 1 species
GACGAACGCUGGCGGCGUGCUUAACACAUGCAAGUCGAACGGUGAAGCUCCAGCUUGCUGGGGUGGAUCAGUGGCGAACGGGUGAGUAACACGUGAGCAACCUGCCCCGGACUCUGGAAUAAGCGCUGGAAACGGCGUCUAAUACUGGAUACGAGAACGCUCCGCAUGGGCACUUUCUGGAAAUUUGUUCGGUUGGGGAUGGGCUCGCGGCCUAUCAGCUUGUUGGUGAGGUAAUGGCUUACCAAGGCGACGACGGGUAGCCGGCCUGAGAGGGCGACCGGCCACACUGGGACUGAGACACGGCCCAGACUCCUACGGGAGGCAGCAGUGGGGAAUAUUGCACAAUGGGCGAAAGCCUGAUGCAGCGACGCCGCGUGAGGGAUGACGGCCUUCGGGUUGUAAACCUCUUUCAGCAGCGAAGAAGCGAAAGUGACGGUACCUGCAGAAGAAGCACCGGCUAACUACGUG